rnacentral:rRNA from 1 species
CCUACGGGAGGCAGCAGUGAGGAAUAUUGGUCAAUGGACGAGAGUCUGAACCAGCCAAGCAGCGUGAAGGAUGACUGCCCUAUGGGUUGUAAACUUCUUUUAUAUGGGAAUAAAACGUUCCACGUGUGGGAUUUUGUAUGUACCAUAUGAAUAAGGAUCGGCUAACUCCGUGCCAGCAGCCGCGGCAAUACGGAGGGUCCGAGCGUUAUCCGGAUUUAUUGGGUUUAAAGGGAGCGUAGGUGGAUUGGUAAGUCAGUUGUGAAAGUUUGCGGCUCAACCGUAAAAUUGCAGUUGAAACUGGCAGUCUUGAGUACAGUAGAGGUGGGCGGAAUUCGUGGUGUAGCGGUGAAAUGCGUAGAUAUCACGAAGAACUCCGAUGGCGAAGGCAGUUCACUGGACUGCAACUGACGCUGAGGCUCGAAAGUGUGGGUAUCAAACAGGAUUAGAUACCCGUGUAGUC